UACGGAGGGGGCUAGCGUUGUUCGGAAUUACUGGGCGUAAAGCGCACGUAGGCGGAUCAGUUAGUCGGGGGUGAAAUCCUGGAGCUCAACUCCAGAACUGCCUUUGAUACUGAUGAGCUUGAGUCCGGGAGAGGUGAGUGGAACUGCGAGUGUAGAGGUGAAAUUCGUAGAUAUUCGCAAGAACACCAGUGGCGAAGGCGGCUCACUGGCCCGGUACUGACGCUGAGGUGCGAAAGCGUGGGGAGCAAACAGG
rnacentral:rRNA from 1 species